GACCUGGUUGAUCCUGCCAGAGGCGACCGCUAUUGGAGUUCGAUUAAGCCAUGCGAGUCGAGAGUCUUAGGGACUCGGCGCACUGCUCAGUAACACGUGGAUAAUCUGACCUACGCUCGAGGAUAAUCUCGGGAAACUGAGUUCAAUACUCGAUAGAUCACAUGUCCUGGAAUGGCUUGUGGUUGAAAGGUAACGGCGUAGGAUGAGUCUGCGGCGUAUCAGGUCGUAGUGGGUGUAAUGGACCCACUAGCCCUCGACGCGUACGGGUUGUGAGAGCAAUUGCCCGGAGAUGGAUUCUGAGACACGAAUCCAGGCCCUACGGGGCGCAGCAGGCGCGAAAACUUCACACUGCAGGAAACUGUGAUGAGGGAACUCCAAGUGGCAGCACUAAGUGCUGUCUUUUCUGGACUCUUAAACGGUCUAGGAAGAAGGGCUGGGUAUGACCGGUGCCAGCCGCCGCGGUAAUACCGGCAGCUCAAGUGGUCGCCGCUUUUAUUGGGCCUAAAACGUCCGUAGCCGGCUUGGUAAACCCGUGGGUAAAUCAACCAGCUCAACUGGUUGAAUUCCGCGGAGACUGCCUGGCUUGGGACCGGGAGAGGCGUGAGGUACUCUC
rnacentral:rRNA from 1 species